rnacentral:tRNA from 1 species
GUGGCUGUGGCUCAGUGGUAGAGCGCUUGCCUAGCACCACGAGGCACUGAGUUCGAUCCUCAGCACCAUG